GUUGGUGGUGCAAAAAUGGUUAAUGCACUUGGCUGCUAACCAAAAGGUUGGAGGUUUGAGUCUACCCAGUGGCA
rnacentral:tRNA from 1 species